rnacentral:rRNA from 1 species
CGUAGGGGCAAGCGUUAUCCGGAUUUACUGGGGUGUAAAGGGAGCGCAGACGGCACUGCAAGUCUGAAGUGAAAGCCCGGGGCUCAACCCCGGGACUGCUUUGGAAACUGUAGAGCUAGAGUGCUGGAGAGGCAAGCGGAAUUCCUAGUGUAGCGGUGAAAUGCGUAGAUAUUAGGAAGAACACCAGUGGCGAAGGCGGCUUGCUGGACAGUAACUGACGUUCAGGCUCGAAAGCGUGGGGGAGCAAACAGGAUU